GACAGAGGAUGCAAGCGUUAUCCGGAACGAUUGGGCGUAAAGCGUCUGUAGGUGGCUUUUAAGUCCGCCGUCAAAUCCCAGGCUCAACCUGGACAGGCGGUGGAAACUACCAAGCUGGAGUACGGUAGGGCAGAGGGAAUUCCCGGUGGAGCGGUGAAAUGCGUAGAGAUCGGAAAGAACACCAACGGCGAAAGCACUCUGCUGGGCCGACACUGACACUGAGAGACGAAAGCUAGGGGAGCGAAUGGG
rnacentral:rRNA from 1 species